GGUAACGGCUUACCAAGGCGACGACGGGUAGCCGGCCUGAGAGGGCGACCGGCCACACUGGGACUGAGACACGGCCCAGACUCCUACGGGAGGCAGCAGUGGGGAAUAUUGCGCAAUGGGCGAAAGCCUGACGCAGCGACGCCGCGUGGGGGAUGAAGGCCUUCGGGUUGUAAACCCCUUUCAGCAGGGACGAAGCGAAAGUGACGGUACCUGCAGAAGAAGCGCCGGCUAACUACGUGCCAGCAGCCGCGGUAACACGUAGGGCGCAAGCGUUGUCCGGAAUUAUUGGGCGUAAAGAGCUCGUAGGCGGUCUGUUGCGUCCGCUGUGAAAACUCGGGGCUUAACCCCGAGCCUGCAGUGGAUACGGGCAGACUAGAGGUAGGUAGGGGAGAAUGGAAUUCCCGGUGUAGCGGUGAAAUGCGCAGAUAUCGGGAGGAACACCGGUGGCGAAGGCGGUUCUCUGGGCCUUACCUGACGCUGAGGAGCGAAAGCGUGGGGAGCGAACAGGAUUAGAUACCCUGGUAGUCCACGCCGUAAACGUUGGGCGCUAGGUGUGGGAUCCUUCCACGGAUUCCGUGCCGCAGCUAACGCAUUAAG
rnacentral:rRNA from 1 species